rnacentral:tRNA from 1 species
GGAAAGAUGGCUGAGUGGUCGAAAGCGCACGACUGGAACUCGUGUGUGGGUUAAUAGCUCACCGAGGGUUCAAAUCCCUCUCUUUCCGCCA